rnacentral:rRNA from 1 species
GACGAACGCUGGCGGCGUGCUUAACACAUGCAAGUCGAACGGAAUCCAUGGUGUAGCAAUACACCGGAAGAUUUAGUGGCGAACGGGUGAGGAUCACGUGAGAAACGUGCCCCAGACUCUGGGAUAACAAUUGGAAACGAUUGCUAAUACCGGAUGACGUCGGAGAAUCGCAUGAUUCACUGACGAAAGAUAUUUCGGUUUGGGAGCGUCUCGCGGCCUAUCAGCUUGUUGGUGGGGUAAUGGCCUACCAAGGCAACGACGGGUAGCUGGUCUGAGAGGAUGAUCAGCCACACUGGGACUGAGACACGGCCCAGACUCCUACGGGAGGCAGCAGUGGGGAAUCUUGCGCAAUGGGCGAAAGCCUGACGCAGCAACGCCGCGUGCGGGAUGAAGGCCUUCGGGCUGUAAACCGCUUUCAGCAGGAACGAAAAUGACGGUACCUGCAGAAGAAGGAGCGGCCAACUACGUGCCAGCAGCCGCGGUGACACGUAGGCUCCAAGCGUUGUCCGGAUUUAUUGGGCGUAAAGAGCUCGUAGGCGGUUGAGUAAGUCGGGUGUGAAAACUCUGGGCUUAACCCGGAGACGCCAUCCGAUACUGCUCUGACUAGAGUUCAGGAGGGGAGUGGGGAAUUCCUAGUGUAGCGGUGAAAUGCGCAGAUAUUAGGAGGAACACCGGUGGCGAAGGCGCCACUCUGGACUGAAACUGACGCUGAGGAGCGAAAGCAUGGGUAGCAAACAGGAUUAGAUACCCUGGUAGUCCAUGCCGUAAACGGUGGGCACUAGGUGUGGGUUCCAACUAACGGGAUCCGCGCCGUCGCUAACGCAUUAAGUGCCCCGCCUGGGGAGUACGGUCGCAAGACUAAAACUCAAAGGAAUU